rnacentral:rRNA from 1 species
GACGAACGCUGGCGGCGUGCUUAACACAUGCAAGUCGAACGGAAAGGCCCUGCUUUUGUGGGGUGCUCGAGUGGCGAACGGGUGAGUAACACGUGAGUAACCUGCCCUUGACUUUGGGAUAACUUCAGGAAACUGGGGCUAAUACCGGAUAGGAGCUCCUGCUGCAUGGUGGGGGUUGGAAAGUUUCGGCGGUUGGGGAUGGACUCGCGGCUUAUCAGCUUGUUGGUGGGGUAGUGGCUUACCAAGGCUUUGACGGGUAGCCGGCCUGAGAGGGUGGCCGGCCACAUUGGGACUGAGAUACGGCCCAGACUCCUACGGGAGGCAGCAGUGGGGAAUAUUGCACAAUGGGCGGAAGCCUGAUGCAGCAACGCCGCGUGCGGGAUGACGGCCUUCGGGUUGUAAACCGCUUUCGCCUGUGACGAAGCGUGAGUGACGGUAAUGGGUAAUGAAGCACCGGCUAACUACGUG